CGGGACUACCCGCUGAAUUUAAGCAUAUCAAUAAGCGGAGGA
rnacentral:rRNA from 36 species